rnacentral:rRNA from 1 species
CCUACGGGUGGCAGCAGUGAGGAAUAUUGGUCAAUGGACGAAAGUCUGAACCAGCCAUGCCGCGUGAAGGAUGACUGCUCUAUGGGUUGUAAACUUCUUUUAUACGAGAGUAAAACAAGACACGUGUACCUUUUUGCAAGUAGUUUACGAAUAAGGAUCGGCUAACUCCGUGCCAGCAGCCGCGGUAAUACGGAGGAUCCGAGCGUUAUCCGGAUUUAUUGGGUUUAAAGGGAGCGUAGAUGGGUUGUUAAGUCAGUUGUGAAAGUUUGGGGCUCAACCGUGAAACUGCAUAUGAUACUGGCAGACUAGAGUAUAGUUGGGGUAGGCGGAAUGCGUGGUGUAGCGGUGAAAUGCUUAGAUAUCAUGCAGAACACCGAUUGCGAAGGCAGCUUACUAAACUGUGACUGACGUUGAGGCACGAAAGCGUGGGUAGCAAACAGGAUUAGAUACCCUAGUAGUC